ensembl:lncRNA
GCUCUCCCUCUUGCUGUGUGCUCUGUGUGCUCCAUGUUCCUCAGUUUCAAUGUAGUUUGAACUUAAUUCUCGAGUUGUUGAUUUUUGCCUCAUCAAAUUGUUUUGUAUUACUUAUUUUCAGAGGUGGGAAGCACAAAUACUUCGUUACUGUGCUGAAGAACAAUUUUCAGCAGAAUGAGUGGAAGCUUCCUCUCCAAAGAGCCUCAGGCAUACCUGCCUCACCCAGAGUCAGACCAGGCUGAGCACAUAGCCGGAUACACGUAGAGUGGAGCUAAGGGGAUGGAUGAUCUUGGUCUUGAGAAUGUGAGUGUUAGAGUGAGAAGCCUAAUGCCUCUGUAUUCAUGGAGCUGAGGAGGAGCAUCAGCCUAAGUGGCAGGAAUGGUACAUAAUGGAGUGGCCAUGCUGAGCUUGCCUUUUGUCCCGUUUCCCUCGCCUCAUCCUGAACCAGUCUCCGUAGAUGAGUGCCCCUCCCUGAUCAUGGUUCUACCGUCCUGUUAAAAGGGUGCUUUUUCUUCCCCCUGUCGC